rnacentral:rRNA from 1 species
AACGAACGCUGGCGGCAGGCUUAACACAUGCAAGUCGAGCGCCCCGCAAGGGGAGCGGCAGACGGGUGAGUAACGCGUGGGAAUCUACCCAUCUCUACGGAAUAACGCAUGGAAACGUGUGCUAAUACCGUAUACGUCCUUCGGGAGAAAGGUUUAUCGGAGAUGGAUGAGCCCGCGUUGGAUUAGCUAGUUGGGGGGGUAAAGGCCUACGAAGGCGACGAUCCAUAGCCGGUCUGAGAGGAUGAUCAGCCACACGGGGACUGAGACACGGCCCAGACUCUUACGGGAGGCAGCAGUGGGGAAUAUUGGACAAUGGGCGCAAGCCUGAUCCAGCCAUGCCGCGUGAGUGAUGAGGGCCCUAGGGUUGUAAAGCUCUUUCACCGGUGAAGAUAAUGACGGUAACCGGAGAAGAAGCCCCGGCUAACUUCGUGCCAGCAGCCGCCGUAACAC